AGUAGUCCUUCCAAUCAUUUAACAUUCAUUUACUUGCAGAAAAAUGGCGCAAGUAUGCAGAGUCUGCAUGGCACCGCCAGUCUCCGGACCAUUCAAAAACAUUUUUGAUGAGCCACAGAACUGGGACACUUGCAUUGCUGACAUGAUAGCGGAGUGCACCGGUGAGUGCAUUCAGCUUUAAGAAGACCUGCGAGCAGAGCCAUAGGCUCUAUAUUCCAGUGUUGGAGGAGGCUGGAGGAGAAGACAUCUGUCAUAAUCUGGAAGACGAUGAGGAUUGGGAACAUUCAGAUAGUGGAAAUGAGCUAACGAACCAAUUUGAAAAUGCAAAGGUUCACGGUGAUAAGGAUGUCGAUCAUCAGUUCAAAUGUAGUCUUUGCCCAAAGAGCUAUACGCACAAAUCGAAUCUAAAUAGACACAAACAAUUACACACUGAAGAACGAACCUACAAAUGCUCCGACUGCUGUGAGCCACAGAACUGGGACACUUGCAUUGCUGACAUGAUAGCGGAGUGCACCGGUGAGUGCAUUCAGCUUUAAGAAGACCUGCGAGCAGAGCCAUAGGCUCUAUAUUCCAGUGUUGGAGGAGGCUGGAGGAGAAGACAUCUGUCAUAAUCUGGAAGACGAUGAGGAUUGGGAACAUUCAGAUAGUGGAAAUGAGCUAACGAACCAAUUUGAAAAUGCAAAGGUUCACGGUGAUAAGGAUGUCGAUCAUCAGUUCAAAUGUAGUCUUUGCCCAAAGAGCUAUACGCACAAAUCGAAUCUAAAUAGACACAAACAAUUACACAC